GUGAUUCCCCAGUUCGCGUUUCGUUUCUUUUCAGAUCUUCUGUUUCCCCAAUUCUACUCGUUUAGGGUUUUUCUCUGUCGUGCUCCUGUGCGAUUAUAUACGGUCUACGUUUGUUUGAUUUCCGAUUCUCUUAAAUUUGGUUUGAUCUGAGAUUUUUGCUUACUGGAAUUCGAGGAUGUUUGAGGAUCAGAUCGCAUACUUGUUGCAGAGAAGCUUGGGGAAGCUUUGAAGGCCAGCGUUUGGUAAGGUGAUAUGGUGUCAUCUUCCAUACUGUUGGCACCAGAUAACACUGGAGAUAAACAUCAACCAAUGCUUAAGAUAAUGAAACUGCGGGCAUCCAAGUCUAUCCAUACGUCUAUGUAUGGAAUACUUGGAGAGUAAACAUUCAUGAGCCUAUCAUUUGGGCUUCAGCUGAUUUCUACAAUAAUCUUCAGUUGGAUCACAUCCCCAAGAGUUCUUGCGCCGCCUGAGUUGGUCCUGAGAUUUGAAUAAAGUAUUACUCAGUCUGUUUUACUUGUUCCAUUAGGGCAUGCAAUUCAUCAUGCAAAUCCCAUACUGGGAAUCAAAUCAUGAUAUUUUUCGGGGGUUCUAUAUGAUUACUGAGCAGAUCGGCCUCAUAGAUGUUUCAGAAGUAAGGAUCAAAAUCUCACUAGAAAGAUAGAAACAGCACCUGCUCAAAGAUCUCAUGUAGUUCUCGGUGUGUGAGUACCAUUCUAUCUGCUGUUGGCAAUGUGUUUAAAAUUCUGGUUAGGUCUAUCAUCCUUGAAAAUUCAAAAUACCUUCUUACGGUGUCAACUCCUGCAGUCUAUAAUAGUAUAUGACUAGUUCUGAUUUCUGGAGUUUAAUUUUUAGGUAAUUUGAAGGUUGAUACUACCGGCUAAGUUUGAGAUACUUGUUCCUAAUGCAAUAUAUAUACUCAUGUAACUCAAUAUUUGUUCAACUGAUGGUCAAUUCCUACUGUGAGAAAGACAGGUAGCCACUGUUCCCAUGUAUACGUCACUUUGGCUGUUUGUUUAAACUUUAAAGAGUUCUCAAAAUAGACCAGGUUUGGUCAUGGAGAAUCAUUGGUUUAGACGAUGCAAAUUUUCAAAGAAUCGAAGCCUGUGGAGAGUGCCAGACAGAAUGGUCAUUCGGGAUUCACCCGUGGGAUGGGGGGACGUGCUUUCACAGGAUUCAUCGUCCAUCCAGUGAGUGGUGCAUCAGAUGUUUUCUCAUUGACGGUUACUGGAAUUGGUGCUAGUUGUACCAGAUGCAUUGGAGAGAAUUAGAAAACCCCAAGUUAUUCAUGCAGAUUGUGUACUCAGGGAGUGUGAUGAGAAGAAAGCUAUUGGCCAGAUGGUUCUUCAGGGAACCCUCGAAAUUUGUGCUGCCGGGCUACUGCGUAGAGCAUUUCAUUGUUCCAUACAAGCGCGUCAUCAUGGUGACCAAGAAAAGAAUAAUGGUAUUACAGACCACAAUGUGAAGGCCAGUGUGCAAAAAUCCUGGAGCAGCGAGCCGGAAUCUGAAGGCCAGUGUGCAAAAAAUCAGAUUUGUGGUGGUGGCCAUCCUCCAAAUGCUGCAGCUUUUUCUACCUUCCUCGUGGGAUAUACGACCUUGAAUGAGGGUGAAAGAGUAGAAAGAUGUGGUCUUCGACUUUGUGACGAGAUUCUGAUUUUGGAGAUCCAUUACACGCCUCUCCUUCCUGAUAAUAAAGGGUACCUCUUUUACUUAAAAACAAUGUUUUUUUUUCAAUUUUUUUUUUAUUUUGUCUUCCUUGUAAUAAAUAUGGCAGUGUGUGUGUUGUGUAUUAUUACUUAAUACGCUGGAUUGAUUUUGUCUUCCUUCAUUCUAUUUUUUUUUAAUUGUUGCACGAUACGUACAUGUUACAGUAAAUAUUUGGAGAACAUAGUAACCCACCCUCA